AUCGCUUCUUGGCCUUUAUGGCUAAGAUCAAAGUGUAGUAUCUGUUCUUUUUUUUUUCUUUGAGAUUCUCUAAAGAAAAGGAUCGUAGAUAUAAAGGAUUCAGCCACAGCCGAGUAUUAUCUUCUUACUUGUGAGGCAAUUGCUUAUAAGAUCAAAAGCCGAUAGCCUUAGAUGCUAGUGCUUUUAAGAGUUUAGUCUUA
rfam:Glossina fuscipes fuscipes unplaced genomic scaffold Scaffold106, whole genome shotgun sequence.